rnacentral:rRNA from 1 species
CGUAGGGGGCAAGCGUUGUCCGGAUUUAUUGGGCGUAAAGAGCGUGUAGGCGGCCGUGUAGGUCCGUUGUGAAAACUCGAGGCUCAACCUCGAGACGUCGAUGGAAACCACACGGCUAGAGUCCGGAAGAGGAGAGUGGAAUUCCUGGUGUAGCGGUGAAAUGCGCAGAUAUCAGGAAGAACACCUAUGGCGAAGGCAGCUCUCUGGGACGGUACUGACGCUGAGACGCGAAAGCGUGGGGAGCGAACAGG